GGGUGAGUAACGCGUAAGGAACUUGCCUCUUGGACUGGGACAACUGUUGGAAACGACAGCUAAUACCGGAUAUUAUGAGAUUCUCGCAUGAGAAACUUAUGAAAGCUAUAUGCGCCAAGAGAGAGCCUUGCGUUCCAUUAGCUAGUUGGUGGGGUAACGGCCCACCAAGGCGACGAUGGAUAGCCGGCCUGAGAGGGUGAACGGCCACAAGGGGACUGAGACACGGCCCUUACUCCUACGGGAGGCAGCAGUGGGGAAUAUUGGACAAUGGGCCACAAGCCUGAUCCAGCAAUUCUGUGUGCACGAUGAAGGUCUUCGGAUUGUAAAGUGCUUUCAGUUGGGAAGAAGAAAGUGACGGUACCAACAGAAGAAGCGACGGCUAAAUACGUGCCAGCAGCCGCGGUAAUACGUAUGUCGCAAGCGUUAUCCGGAUUUAUUGGGCGUAAAGCGCGUCUAGGCGGAAAAAUAAGUCUGAUGUUAAAAUGCGGGGCUCAACUCCGUAUUGCGUUGGAAACUGUUUUUCUAGAGUACUGGAGAGGUGGGCGGAACUACAAGUGUAGAGGUGAAAUUCGUAGAUAUUUGUAGGAAUGCCGAUGGAGA
rnacentral:rRNA from 1 species